rnacentral:lncRNA from 1 species
CAAGCAUUUUUGGCGCCGUUGCCGGGGAAGCAAUUGGUGUGAAGAUUUUGAUAAUGAUCUUGAUGUCUGCUAAUUUAAUGUAUCACUAGCUUUAGUAGGUUUAUUGUAUUUAUCUUUUCUGCAUUUGUUUUUAGCAUAUUUAUUACUCCAUAACAUAUUUAUCUUUCUGCAUUAUUAUUGCAUUAGAAAAUAUAAUAAAAAUAUUUUAUAUAACUCAUUGCAUCUUAAGUACUAAAACCCCAUGUGAAUAAAUUGUGUGGUGUGUAAAAGCCCACACGGAUAUUCACCGUGGUGGAAUAAAAAAAAUAAAAAUAUAAAUAAAAAUAAAAAUAAAUAAACUUGCAUUCAUCCUGUUCCAUUUCCUUUUUGCUUCAUAGAAAGAUUAAAACCUAAAAAAUAUAUAUAUUGAGAAAGAGAUCUUGUUGAAACUCUGCUUAGAAAAAGAAUUAAGAAAAAUCUAAAAAGCUUGGACAACUAAGGCUUAAGUGGCCAACUACUAAUGUUUAAUCGGUGCCACAAGUUUUGUUGUCUAUUUGAGUUUAACAUGAUUUAAAGAGAGAAUCCCCAAUGAUCAAGAUAUCUUCAUCAACUUGGAAGCGCUGCAAUCAUCACUGACAUUUUGAAGCUCAAGAAUAUUGAAGAACAUUUGUGUUGUGCGGAUUCAAGAUUGUAGACUAUGUCAACAUUCAGCGUGGGGUAAAACAAUCCCGUUAUCUUCGCGAUUCAGGCUUGAAGUAAAAGAGUGAAGAAUAACAACAAGGUAUGUCCAACCAAUCAUCAUGCAAUAUUGAAUUAAAUUCAUCCAAACUUUACUUGUUCAAGCUUGGGGAAUACCUUACAUAAAAACAUCCUUUGCCAUGUUGCUAUGUUGGUUGUCCCUACCAUUAAGACAUGCUCAAUUUGUUAAACACUAAUCAUUCUACUUCAUCCCCACUUGAGUAGAUGUCUAUAAUGUUGUCAUACUACCUUUGUCUAUUCACAAGUAAGUGUUGGUUUGGAAGUACUCGACAUACUUCCAUUGGCAUUUAAAUUAAGCAUGGUGCUUAGGUUAAAUAGCCUUCCUUAAUCCAAUUAGACAUGGAGUCUAGUUUGGUUAUUGAACUAAAAACUGCUUGUGUAGACACUGGUAUAUUUUGUUGGACUAACCCCUGCAGAAAAUUUUCAAUAUCAAUUUGAGAAGUCCUGAGAUAAAUUCAGAAUGGAGAUAAAGAGGGAGACACAUGAAGUUUAACAAUUUGCACAAGAAAGACAUAGCUCGUCCAUCAUAGAGAGAUAAUCCAUGGAACGAGACGAAGAGUGCCACGAACAAGAUGCACAACCAUUGAGAAAGAAAAGCUUCCACAAGGUGAUAUUGUAUCAUCACUCUUCAAUUAAGGUAACAUCUUAAGGUAUGUGACUGUCACUGUUAUAAGCUUCUCCUUGAUUCUGGCAUGCACAUGGAUAAAAAUACAAACAUGUAUGAUUUAUAACUCCAAAUUAACCAACCCAAUUGAUUCAACAUGUUUAGUCCUUUAAUCUUUGUUCCCGGUACUACCUUCUUGAUCCCACACUCUUAACCAUAUGAGCUAAAAUGUUGCACAUCUGAUCUUUGGAAAAUGAUAGUCAUGUAAAGAAAAAAAAUUUACUUAGAUAGAUUAUCUUUCCAUAAGGUUGAGUGAUCUGAUUUGAUAAAUGUUUUAAAUGCUACACUCAUGAUCUUAUCAUCCAUCAACUUUGUCUUGCUCACUAUGCUUAAGGUUAGAGAAGAACAAAUACACAUUUGGUUCUGUUGGUGUUUUCCACCAACAGGGCCCAUGCACUUGAUCUCUGUCUUGUCUCUAUGAGCAGGAUACACUUCGAGCAAAACAUGGAGGAGUUUUCCAACUCCCAGACUCUACCAAGUGAAGGAUCUGGAUCUACGAGCACAAACACACUGAGGAGGAUGCUGCCAACGCCGCACUUCGAACUGCUGGGCAAACGAAAAACAUGGGGGACACCGUAUCAAGAGGUGC